rnacentral:ncRNA from 1 species
AUCUUCGGGGCUAGGUGAAAUUCCAUACCGGCGGUAAAGUCCGCGAGCCUUUUUGAUGUUUCUUUUAUUCAAAAAUGGCAGAUUUGGUGCGAUUCCAAAACCGACAGUUAAAGUCUGGAUGGUAGAAGAUG